UACGUAGGCAGCGAGCGUUGUUCGGAAUUACUGGGCGUAAAGCGCACGUAGGCGGCUUUGUAAGUAAGAGGUGAAAGCCCAGAGCUCAACUCUGGAAUUGCCUUUUAGACUGCAUCGCUUGAAUCAUGGAGAGGUCAGUGGAAUUCCGAGUGUAGAGGUGAAAUUCGUAGAUAUUCGGAAGAACACCCGUGGCGAAGGCGGCUCUCUGGGACGGUACUGACGCUGAGACGCGAAAGCGUGGGGAGCGAACAGG
rnacentral:rRNA from 1 species